rnacentral:rRNA from 1 species
GUAGUCCUAGCCGUAAACGGUGCACGUUUGCUGUAAGAGGAAUCGACCCCUUUUGUGGCGAAGCUAACGCGUUAAACGUGCCGCCUGGGAAGUACGGUCGCAAGAUUAAAACUCAAAGAAAUUGACGGGGGCCUGCACAAGCGGUGGAGUAUGUGGCUCAAUUCGAUGCAACGCGAAGAACCUUACCUGGCCUUGACAUGUACGUAGUAGAAGGGUGAAAGCCUGACGAGGUAGCAAUACCAGCGUACACAGGUGCUGCAUGGCUGUCGUCAGCUCGUGUCGUGAGAUGUUGGGUUAAGUCCCGCAACGAGCGCAACCCUUGCGUCCUGUUGCCACUCCUGCGAGAGCGGGAAGCACUCUGGACGGACUGCCUCAUUUAAAUGAGGAGGAAGGUGGGGAUGACGUCAAGUCAGUAUGGCCCUUACGGCCAGGGCUGCACACGCACUACAAUGCCCGGCACAGAGGGAAGCGAGACCGUCAGGUGGAGCAAAUCCCAGAAAACCGGGCCCAGUUCAGAUUGUCGUCUGCAACUCGACGGCAUGAAGCUGGAAUCGCUAGUAAUGGCGCAUCAGCUACGGCGCCGUGAAUA